AUUGAACGCUGGCGGCAGGCCUAACACAUGCAAGUCGAACGGAGCGGCGGACGGGUGAGUAAUGCCUAGGAAUCUGCCUGGUAGUGGGGGAUAACGUCCGGAAACGGGCGCUAAUACCGCAUACUAUCAGAUGAGCCUAGGUCGGAUUAGCUAUUUUGUGGGGUAAUGGCUCACCUAGUCUACGAUCCCUAGCUGGUCUUAGAGGAUGACCAGCCACACUGGAACUGAGACACGGUCCAGACUCCUACGGGAGGCAGCAGUGGGGAAUAUUGCACAAUGGGCGCAAGCCUGAUGCAGCCAUGCCGCGUGUAUGAAGAAGGCCUUCGGGUUGUAAAGUACUUUCAGCGGGGAGGCGUUACCCGCAGAAGAAGCACCGGCUAACUCCGUGCCAGCCGCCGCGGUAAUUC
rnacentral:rRNA from 1 species